rnacentral:rRNA from 1 species
UGGGGAAUAUUGGACAAUGGGCGCAAGCCUGAUCCAGCCAUGCCGCGUGAGUGAUGAAGGCCCUAGGGUUGUAAAGCUCUUUCACCGGUGAAGAUAAUGACGGUAACCGGAGAAGAAGCCCCGGCUAACUUCGUGCCAGCAGCCGCGGUAAUACGAAGGGGGCUAGCGUUGUUCGGAUUUACUGGGCGUAAAGCGCACGUAGGCGGACUUUUAAGUCAGGGGUGAAAUCCCGGGGCUCAACCCCGGAACUGCCUUUGAUACUGGAAGUCUUGAGUAUGGUAGAGGUGAGUGGAAUUCCGAGUGUAGAGGUGAAAUUCGUAGAUAUUCGGAGGAACACCAGUGGCGAAGGCGGCUCACUGGACCAUUAAUGAAGCUGAGGUGCGAAAGCGUGGGGAGCAAACAGG